GAGCAAAUGAUGAAAUUUAUUAACAUGUUUCUGAUUACCGUUGAUGCUUUAAACAUCGAGCUUUUUAAAACUGAUGCUCA